UAGCGAAGGGGGCUAGCGUUGCUCGGAAUCACUUGGGCUUAAAGCGUGUGUAGGCGGAGCGUUAAGUGCUUUGUGAAAUCCCACGGCUCACCCGUGGAACUGCUUGGCAUACUGGCGCUCUUGAGCCAGCUUAGGGGCGAACCGGAACAAACGGUGGAGCGGUGAAAUGCGUAGAUAUCGUUUGGAACGCCAAUGGUGAAACAGGUUGCUGGGAGUGUGCUGACGCUGAGACACGAAAGCCAGGGGAGGCGAACGGG
rnacentral:rRNA from 1 species